CCUUGUGAAAAUACUGAGUUUUUUUAAAUCCAAGUACAUGGUAAAUAACCUCAUUUUUCCCGAGCCCUCUUGGAGCUUCUCUGGCAGUUUAGUAGUUCUGGAGAUAGCGUAUUUGCAUAGUGCUUCUCACUAUAGUCCUAGGGUUUCAUAAUUUUGUUACUCGAAUGAAUGCAAUCUUUUUUAUUCUAUUGUCUUUUAAUUUUUUCUAUUAGAUUGUUUUUAACAAUAAGAUAAUUCACAGUAGUGAAGGAGAAAAAUGGAUGGUUCCUGUAACAAGUAGAGCAACACAUAUACAACAAACAUUUGUUUCAGGGCCUUCUGGACAAAGUCCGCACAGCCACUGUGGCCAGGGGGCUUUUUGCAUGAGUAGCUCUAGUCCUGUAUAGACUGCUUUUAAUAACUGGAAUUCAGUGAGCCGAUUAACCAACAGUUCCAUAUAUGCAUCCAUUAACUUGACCCCCCAGUCAACUCUGGAGCAGGAAGAGUCCUGUUUUAACAUCUGUUACAAAAGUAUAAACACAAUUGUGCCAAGAGUCUGCACACUUGGGCUCUGGCACACAGUCCCAGCAGGUCUGUUUUGGGCCGAGAACCAAGCAAUGGAGGAUGACAGACAAAGGACAGCCCGGGUGCUAUUCUUCCAUCAGUCUUCUGGCGUCUGCUUCCCUCUGAAACACCCCCUCUCUUAAUAGCAUCUAUGUGUGUGUGUGUGUAUAAACAUACACACGUUCCCACAGCAAAGGAGAAGGGCAUGUACUUCUCAGAAUCAAUUGGCAACAUAAAUUCUCAUUAGUCUCUUUCUUUUUCACAAAUCUCAUGAUACCUCAUUGCCGCUGUCAUUUUCUGACUAUUGUGGAGAUGAGGAUGUUUCUAUAUUUUUCUCAGCCAUUUGGUAUUUGUUAUUUUGGCUUGCUUUUUGAUACCCUUUGCACAUGCUUUCAAGGUGUUGGUUGCCUUUCUCCUAUGGAUGUUUGGGAUAUUUAUAUUUUAGGAAUAUUAUCGUCAACUAUAUGCACUACAAAUACUUUUUCUCAGAUAGCACUUUGUCUUUAUUUUUAACAGCUUUAUUGAGGUAAAAUUUACAUAUCAUAAAAUUCACCCUUGUAAAAAUACAACUCAAUGGUGUUUAAUGUCUUCAGAUUUGUGCAAAUCACUACAAUACAGUUUAGAACACUUCCAUCACCAUGAAAACGACCCUCAUGACUAUUUUCAGUCAGUCCCAUUCCCUUCCCAUCCCAGCCCCAGGCAGCCACUAAUCUGCAUUUUCUGGACAUUUCCAUGUAGUCUUUUAUGUAGUCUUUUAAGUCUGACAUCUCUCAAUUAGCAUAACGUAUUGAGGUUCACCCAUGUUGUAGCAUAUAUCAG
rnacentral:lncRNA from 1 species